AUGUUAUACAACAAAUUUGACAGAAAAGUAGUUCAAUACACAGUAAUGUUAUGUAGUGAUUACUGUAUUUACGAAUUUAGCACCAAAAUAUCACGAUGUAUUGAAAACAUUGACUACAAAAACGCAUUGGAUAAUCCAGAACAUUGGAUAAGUGAGUGUUGGAUAAGUGAGACUCUACUGUACUUAGAAACACAAACAAGGUUUUAACUUUGUAUUUUUAAAUACAUUAUAACUGUACCCUCUAUUUUCUUCUGACACGAUAAAUAAAUAAAAGAAAACUACCUCCUAAGAAGUUUAUUGCACAGAACUGUUGUUUCACAGCAAUUGUACAAUUACUGAUAGCAACGACAUACUGGGAUGAUCAUACUCUGUGUCGUCGAAGGCUUUCAUGGCCGGGAUCACAGGGUUGUUGUUUGUUUUCCGGGCUGUACGGCCAUGUUCCAGAAGUAUUCUCUCCUGGUGUUUCACCCACAUCUAUGGCAGGCAUUCUCUUUCCUUACUUAGUUUAUCCAUAACUCACAACCUCUGAGGAUGCCUGCCAUAGAUGUGGGUGAAACAUCAGGAGAGAAUACUUCUGGAACAUGGUCAUACAGACCGGAAAACAGACAACAACACCCGAUCAUACUCUGUAUUGCAUCUCUCUGCAUUCACUCAACUGCCCCGAUUUUCUGUUCUGUGGUCCCAUGGCUUUACUUCAGCUGAAUCUCAUAACUCUGCCCUUUUGCAGUUCUGUUGCUCCAUAAUUUUGUAAAAAAUAUUUUUUGAAAAGGCAAUUUUUCAAUUACAGCGAAGGAUAUUUUUUAAAUGAAUAAUAAAACAUUAAACCAAGGAAUUACAACCUCGGGAAUAUUAGAGAAGGAGAAUAUAAGAAGAGGAGAAUCCUGUUCCAUGACAUCAGUCUUGGCAUGCUGGCACAGAAGUAGAAUGACCUCAUCAAACUAAGUAAGUGAUGGGAACAUGGUUUGAUCUGUGACUAUUGAUAAGUCUUCCUGUCAAUAGCAGGGGGUUGGAUUUAUCAUCUGGUGGAAGCAAACCAGCAACGGGAUGAACAUGGUCUUGUGUCAUUGGGAUUGUCACCUGCUUCAAUGCCAGUUUGCCUCCUUCAUGAGAUAAAGUCCUAAGUUACUAGAGAAAUAUCACAGUUUCUACCUUCUGAUCAUGAAAAGUGGUCUACAAGACUUGUAUUUUUCUUUUCUCCAUCACAUUUCAAAUACUCAGCAUGAAACUUCAUAACUAGAAAUCUUAUUUCCAGGGAUUUUCUUUUUGUUUGCUACUUAGGCUACCCCAAGAAUAAGUGAGCGUAAGUUUUAAAAACCCCUUAUUGCAUGGAAACAUAAAGCAGUUUCCAUGCAUUAAUUAGAUUUGCUUUCCUAGAAUUGCACUAAAUACUUUGUUAAUAAUUUAUCUGCUCUGGAAAAAAUUAGGCCCUAUUCUUCAUGACUUUGAUUUUCAGAAAUGUGCUUGAUAUGUGAAACUAUUUGAUGUAUCUGAACACAUUUCUGCCUGUGGCUUGCUCAUGCAUUAUUCAUUGCAACAACUAAAGUGUUUGCUUUGUAAUUUGCUCUUUUCUGCGCAGCAUCCAUUCUUCACCUAAGUUACACAGUUUAAUUUCCCCACUGUGCGAAUCCUAACACCACCCCAAACAAAUAAGUGGAAAGAGUAUUUCAUUUCUUUAUAGGACAAAAAGUACUAGGUUGCGGAGAGUAGAGAAUAGAUGCUAAAGAAUCAAGGAAGUGUUUCUGUUCUGGUGCUGGUGGCUUCCAUGUUAGUAAGAUAAAGAAUCUACUCCACAUUUAGGGUGUAUCUACACUGUAGAAUUAAUACAGCUUGACGUUGCUUUAACUGUCAUGAGUCAAGGCUAUGGAACCAUGGGAGUUGUAAUUUUACAAGGUCCUUGGACCUCUCUGCCAAAG
ensembl:lncRNA